CGCCAGGUAAGAUGUCCGUUUGGUCUUCUUCGUCUUCUGCCAUGACUGUGAGGUUCCCCUCAGCUGUGUGGAACUGGGAGUCCAUUAAACUUCUUUGAUUUAUAGACGACCCAGUUUCAGGUCAGUGGUUGUCAAAGGCGACAAUGCAUCGGUAUUGUCUGAAGAAAUUUUCAAAUACCUGCUCCUUUCUAGGAUCCAGACACAGGAUAAGAUACAUGUGGGGAAUGACCUUUCCGUGCCUGUGCGGUUUAUUGGGAUUAGAGCACUACCAGAUAUAUCUGCAGAAUGAUUGCACCAGUCUAUACCCUCACGAGCAACAAUGAGAAGGGCUCCUAUUAUACAACUUUCUAGGUUUAAG
rnacentral:lncRNA from 10 species